rnacentral:rRNA from 1 species
ACCAGACUCCUACGGGAGGCAGCAGUGGGGGAUAUUGCACAAUGGGGGGAACCCUGAUGCAGCGACGCCGCGUGGGUGAAGAAGCGCCUCGGCGCGUAAAGCCCUGUCAGCAGGGAAGAAAAUGACGGUACCUGAAGAAGAAGCCCCGGCUAACUACGUGCCAGCAGCCGCGGUAAUACGUAGGGGGCAAGCGUUAUCCGGAUUUACUGGGUGUAAAGGGGGCGCAGACGGCGAUGCAAGCCAGGAGUGAAAGCCCGGGGCCCAACCCCGGGACUGCUCUUGGAACUGCGUGGCUGGCGUGCAGGAGGGGCAGGCGGAAUUCCUGGUGUAGCGGUGAAAUGCGUAGAUAUCAGGAGGAACACCGGUGGCGAAGGCGGCCUGCUGGACUGCAACUGACGUUGAGGCCCGAAAGCGUGGGGAGCAAACAGGAUUAGAUACCCGCGUAA